UUCUAAUUUUCUGGGUGCUAAUCUGCUAAAUAGUACAUUUUGGGGCGUGCACUUCAUAUCUGAGAGUCAAAUUGAAGCGUCCAAUAGUGCGCUGUAAUGCGCCCUUGUAAAAAUUCUUAUUUUCUGGGUGCUAAUCUGCGAAAUAGUACAUUUUGGGCAUGCUCUUCAUAUCUGAGAGUCAAAUAGAAGCGUCUAAUAGUGC